GCCUGGGUAGCUCAGUGGUUGAGCAUUUGCUUUUGGCUCAGGUUUUGAUCCCAGGGUCCUGGGAUCAACUCCCACACCAGGCU
rnacentral:tRNA from 1 species